AGAUUCGGUCUUAGACAGUCGCGAGAACGCCACAGACAAGACAACUUUUGUCUGCUCCCGUGGAGUCUGAGUGUGUGGGUUGUGAUGAGUCUGGCUGGUUGGUGUGCAGCAUGUGGCAGCCCACAAGAUGGUGAACUUAACACGCAGAUCAGACUUGCAAAGACUAGAUUUCCUAUCAUAUACCGCUUCGUGGCGCCAUGGCUAGCAACGUUGACCGAAUAAAGUUACUAUGGGAAUAUCAGCGCUGUGUCCAUGGUAACCUCGUAAACAAUUCAUUUAGACCCAGCGUUUAUUUGAAACAGGCGGUUAUUUGUUUCAAUGUGUGCCGAUGCCCGGCUAUUAAAGGGAUACUUCAGGAUUUUGGCAAUGGUACUUCUAGUCGUUGUGCGAAUGCUAGUUAGCAUUGGACGGGCAUAAGCUACGGACAACCAACACAAUUGCAUUUUAAUGUUAUCUCAGAGUAAAAUGGUGGUAGUUGUACUUUUAAUUGUCAUUCUGUUUGCAUUCAGGGGAAAUUGACUAAGGAGGUCCCGUUUGCUCGGCUAAACCUGAGAAACCGCGGUUAGUCCCAUUCAAAUCAAUCUUCCCUAAUGUUCUCUGGAACAGCAGAGAAACAGCACAGCAUCCUCAUCAUUGUCACCUUCAUCCCAGGAAACCUCCAGUACAUCAAAGGGAAAUGCUCCCUCCUGAUGGCAACCAACACUAAUGUGCUCGCUUUCCCUUCCCUAUCCCUAUGAACCAGAGAAACUGUCAUUGUACCACUUUUCCCCUGACCCUCGCAGACUCUUUACAGGCACUAUCCUCUUCCUGCUCUCACAGCCCUCUGUCCUUGUCCUCUACGUCUGCUGUGAAUGCAACAGGUCCCCAGCAAUCUUAUCAAAGUGCUGUGAACACGGGAAACAAUGACAGGUUGUCAUUAUCGGGGGUUUCGCAGGACACCCCUGUCCCGUAUCAGGGUGGCUCCUCAGUCUGACCUGAUGGUGGAACUUGUUUCCUGGCCCUUUCAUGUCAAAAGGAAAGCGGAGGAUGAAAAUGUGGGUCCAAAGUUGUUUGAGGACCUUGAAGGUACCAGCGGACUCCCCCUGUGAGAGGGUUCCCCCCCUGUAGGUGCUGAAAAGCGGGCUGUGGACGUGGCUGCUACAGUUGUCAUGGAAAGAGAAGCUGCGCCCACCAUCACGGAUCAGAAUGCAAUGGCUCCAAUGUACAGACAAAAAGCUACUAAGGCUUCAGGCAGCCAUCAAUCAAAUCAGGAUGUUGGCUGGAGUGCCAAGACGGCAAUCAGGUGGUUUUUAGCUCCCUUCACACUCCCUGUUACGGGAAACUCCCAUCAACUUGGGGCAUGUCAUCAGCUAAUGGCACUUUACAUUUUUUCCCCUGGCACUGUGAACACUCCCUCCAAACUUAAUUUUGUCCAACAGCGCCCCAGGUUCUGGUUCCACUGGCACUGUGGGCAGCUGUUACGUUCCCCAGUUUCUGUGUUGUUGUGGGUUUGUAUGUGUUUCAGGAAAUGAUUCCUGGAUUCCCCCAAGCAGCUGAUUGGUCGGCCCCAUUGCAGAUUGGAGCUGACUCCGCCCUCUCGUCAGGGGAUACAGCUGUCUGCAAUUACAGACUCCUUCUCCAGCUGUAUAUAAGCCAGUGUUCCUUUGCUCAGAGAGGAUGCUUAUAGGUCAAAACCAAGUGCUAGCUGGUUCUGUCCCAGGAGGACCCUGCCCACCAGGUCUGCCAGACCUCACCUCUCCAAAGAGCACAAUGGUUAGUUGUGAACAAGGUCUUUACUGUUUAUUUCCCUCAUCUAUAGUUUCUCCUAGUCGUUCCUCUAUCCCAUUGUAGUUCAUCUGUGUUCUCUUUUGCCUCCAUCUUUCCUUCCUAUCAAAUCCAUCUUUUGUCUGUUGGUCUCCCAAAUCUAAUUUUAUUUGCCGAUCGUCCUAUUUUGUAGUAUCCUCAGUUUAGUAUUGUGUAGUUGAGAAAAUAAUGGAAAGUUGAACGUUUUGCUAAAUCACAAUUAGGCUAUCUUCGGAAGGACUACUUACUGUAGUGUUGCAUUAUCUGAAGUAUAACAAUUGUAGAUCAACUGAGUAAUUAAUCACAACUGCAUUUUGAAAUGUAAUUGGAAACUUUUGAAAGCAUUUCUUUAUGAAUUGUUAAGUACGAACACGCCUUUGAUAUAGUCUUACAUUCGCAUUAAUAAGGCACUAUCACACCCUCUCAACAGGAAGCUCCUCAGUCCACUGGUCCAAUCAGAAUUAUUCGACAGGUAAAGAAGAAUAUUUCAACGGUUCAGGACACAGCAGCCCACCCAGGAUGGCACUGCUCAGUCAGGAUUGUUCAAAAAGGAUGAAUCCGCCUCCGUUCUCCUGUCCAGGCAGACUGUGAAAAUGGAAAUUGCCCAGACAGACGUUGACCUCGUUCUGGCCAACCCUAGUCUGACAGUCUUUGCUGUUGAAGAAACCACUGAGACAGACAUUGUCCAGAAUAAAACUGCCCAGCCAGACUUUGUCCAGAAUGAGACCAACCAGGCCGAACAUGUGCUCAAGUAAUAGGAAUCAAGGAGGAAUAAAGGUUACGGACAGUUACAGGACCAAUGGAGUCUGUGGGCAGACAUGCUUGACCCUGCCCAAACUGUUCCUGUUCAGAUUAACUUUGUGCAAACUAACACUGUCCAAAGCGACAUUGUGCAGACAGACUGACUUUGUCAACGUAAGCACACAAGUAUCUGGGAUUAUAAUCAAGGAAGAACCGCCAACCACAGACAGCUUAUCAGUUACAGGGCUAAUGGAGUCCAUCAGAGUGAUCAUGCCUGACACUCUACCUACUGAAACUGUCCAGACUGACCUUGUCCAUACAGAAAUGGUUCAUGUAACAAACUGUACAAAGGGAUUUUGUGCAGACCAACUUUCUUCAGACUGAUAACCAGACUGAAAUCGUGUAGCCCGAGACACUGCUGAGACUGAAAUUGUGCAGACUGCAACUUUCAUUGAAACUGUGCUGAAUGAAAUUGACCUGUCGAACUUUAACCAGACUGAAACUGUGCAGACAGACCCUGUCCUGACUGAAACUGUGGAACCAGUGCACAGUGGAACUGUCCUUACUGACAUUAUGCAGACUGUGCAGAGGCACCCAAGCCCCAACUGACUUCAGAUAUUGUUCAGACCGACAUGUCAACCACCAAUGAAUCCGAUGUGGUACCCACCAAUGACGAUGUCAAUUUGGCCAGUGUAGGGCUGUUGCUGUGACCGUAUUACCGGCGGUCACGAGUCAUGAAGGCAGUCAAAUUCUACGUGACCCUUUAGUCACGAUAAUUAGGCUUCUCCAAGCUCUGCUUCUCCAAACUUGCUAACUGCCUGGUACUCAGCACUAUUGUCCCUUUAAUCACUCUGACAUCAAUGCAAAUGUGUUCGGAAAUCUAUUCAAACACUUCAUGAUAGCUCAUGUUGUGCGAGAAAACAACAGUGAUGGCUGCUAAUAAAAAGAGGAUCCCAUCAGCUUUCUAUGGGAUCCUCUUUCUAUUAUAUUUAUUUCUCAACUUUAAAAAUAUUAAGCACAUUGCUUAUAUUUACAACAGGAGUAUAGCCUACCUGGCUGGCAUGAAAAUAAACCACGGCAUAGAUGAUUUUUUUAUUUUUUUUUCCCCCACUGCCCCUGUUUCGAUACAGGUGCAUGAUAAUGGUCCAUUCUAAAUCAAAAUUCCACACAUUAUUUAGUGUAUGUAAAGACAAGAUUAAAUCAAGAAUAGUCUGAUGGUUGACAAUAUUAGCCUAUCACUUGUGAAAUAUAUUACUUGUGAAUGAUGCCCUGCAUAAAGACUUUCGAAUCAUAGACGCAUACCUCAUGUAGCCUAGCCCAUAGGCCUAUAUGUUUUGAUAAGGUUUGUAUCACAACUAAAGUGGCCAAAUACAUUCUUAAAAUUAAGCACAUUAAUCCACUUUACAAGGGGUUUAGAACCUAACUGGUAUACAUAAGCAGCGUGUGAGUUUCAAGUUUGUUGCUGAAGAUAAUUUUUACUAUAAAAAUGCAUCUUUUAUAAUAAAAGCAUUACAUGCAUAAUCGCAUUUACAUUCAUUUUUGAUUGUUUUCCUGCUAAUGGAACAUUCAUGCUUAUAGCCUACUGCCAUGUGUGCAUUGCUGCGUUUUAUAAUAUGAAGAAAUAGCCUAAUAGUUUAUCAACAUUUUAAGCUAAAUGUUCUGAUCUGUUGUGUCAGCCACAUUGUGUAAAAAAGGUUUUGAUGCUAGUGGUUGUAUUCAUUUGGGCUCUUUCAUCCCACAGCUGUCCCAGACUAUGUUUGGAAUAUUUAUUUCUUGAAUAGAAUAGGUUGACUUUUGUACUAUGGGGGAUAGUAGAUUGACAUAGCAAGUGCAUUAGCCUGUUCUUUAGGCCUACUUGUUGGCUGACAAAUUAAAUGUGGACAGUUCUUCCAAUAUCUUCAAUAUGCACACAUUUGCAUCCCCAAUGUGUCUGUCUUCACUUGUAGCCUGUGAGA